AUUGAACGCUGGCGGCAUGCUUUACACAUGCAAGUCGGACGGUAACAGGCCUUCGGGCGCUGACGAGUGGCGAACGGGUGAGUAAUGCAUCGGAACGUGCCCAGUCGUGGGGGAUAACGCAGCGAAAGCUGUGCUAAUACCGCAUACGAUCUGCGGAUGAAAGCGGGGGACCUUCGGGCCUCGCGCGAUUGGAGCGGCCGAUGUCAGAUUAGGUAGUUGGUGGGGUAAAGGCUCACCACGCCAACGAUCUGUAGCUGGUCUGAGAGGACGACCAGCCAAACUGGGACUGAGACACGGCGCAGACUCCUACGGUAGGCAGCAGUGGGGAAUUUUGGACAAUGGGCGCAAGCCUGAUCCAGCAAUGCCGCGUGCAGGAAGAAGGCCUUCGGGUUGUAAACUGCUUUUGUACGGAGCGAAAAGGCUCCCUCUAAUACAGGGGGCUCAUGACGGUACCGUAAGAAUAAGCACCGGCUAACUACGUGCCAGCCGCCGCAGUAAAAC
rnacentral:rRNA from 1 species